rnacentral:rRNA from 1 species
GACGAACCGUGCGAACGUUGUUCGGAAUCACUGGGCUUAAAGGGCGCGUAGGCGGGCUGCCAAGUCUGGGGUGAAAUCCCACGGCUCAACCGUGGAACUGCCUCAGAUACUGGCGGCCUCGAGGGGGGUAGGGGCAUGCGGAACUAUGCGUGGAGCGGUGAAAUGCGUUGAUAUGCAUAGGAACUCCGGUGGCGAAGGCGGCGUGCUGGACCCUUUCUGACGCUGAUGCGCGAAAGCCAGGGGAGCGAACAGG